rnacentral:rRNA from 1 species
UACGAAGGUCCCAAGCGUUGUUCGGAAUCACUGGGCGUAAAGGGCACGUAGGCGGCUCGGCAAAUCGGUCGUGGAAUCCCGACGCUUACCGUCGGAACGGCGGCCGAAAAUACCGGGCUCGAGGGCGUGAGGGGUCACUGGAACUCCUGGUGAAGCGGUGAAAUGCGUAGAUAUCAGGAGGAACGCCGGAGGCGAAAGCGAGUGACUGGCGCGUUCCUGACGCUGAGGUGCGAAAGUUAGGGGAGCAAACAGG